CCAAGGAAGCCACCAGAAGCUGGAAGAGGUAGCUCGGUGAAUGCUUAUUGAAUUGGACCACGGAAACAGUUCAAAGUCUGACGAGCGGUGACCAUAGAUCACAAGCCUGGAAUGAUCCGAGAGCGUGCAGAGGAUGCUGUGGCAAGUCACUCCUUUUCAAAGCGGCCAGGGCAGACUGAAAUCACCCAUGAGGCUCUUCUGUAGGACUGAGAAGAAGAAUCAGGGGCCCCGUCCUCAUUUAGGGGGCUGUAGACACGGCCUGGGAAAUUCAGAGCAACCAAAUGUUUUCAGCUGUCUUCUAAUCAAAACGUGGCCAUGGAAACGGAGACAGAUUCUUAGAAAUUCUGAAACGGAGAAACUAGGAAUAAGUCUGAGGCCCUUCUAGCAUUCCCUUUUGUCAUUCUAUUUUUAAUUUACUUUUUAAAUAAAUUCAUUAUUAAAAUAUACAAAGGCAUGCAAUGAGGUCUCCCUCCCCAUGACCUAUUCGUGCAUUGACCAAGUAUUUGUUGUUGCCUCCGCCUGUUGGGUUCUCAGUGCUUGAGGCGUUUCAGGAAGCGAAACAGACAAAACAACUGUCUUCAUGACUCUCACUUCGACCUGGCUGAGGAGUCAAGGUGAGCGUCUUUGAGAAGGGGAGGCUUGAGCAGACUUGAAGUGAAGGAAGUUAGCCAAACAGCUAACCACCCCACCACUGUGUUAGACUUUUCUGAAUCCUUCUAGAGUUUCUUUAUGGCUACGGCAGCAGAUUUGAACUUAUAUUCUUAUUUACUCUUCUUUUUAAUACAAAAGACAAUGUAUUAUAUGGCAUUUGCUUUUUUUAUUUAAUAUAUCCUGGAGGUUUUUGUCAGAUAACUUUCUUUACCUGGAAUUUUCCUUAUUUAUUUGUUCUUGUACUACUGACUAGAGUGUCAUAUUUGUGUAAAUAUACAAUGAUUUAUUUAACUGUUUCCCUCUGAUGGACAUUUAGUUUGUUUUCAACCCUUCACUCUUCUGAAAAAUGUGGUAGUGCCUAACUUUGUACAAAUAUCAUUUGAAUCUCUCUGGUAAUUUCCUACAAGAGGAUUUUCUGGGUCAAAGUUAUAUGAGUGAGUGAUCUUAACAAA
rnacentral:lncRNA from 1 species